GCUAAACGCGAAGAACCUUACCAAGGCUUGACUUCCUGCGAAGGUUUCCGAAAGGAAAUUGUGCCUUUUAGGAGCGCAGUGACAGGUGCUGCAUGGCCGUCGUCAGCUCGUGUCGUGAGAUGUUGGGUUAAGUCCCGCAACGAGCGCAACCCUUGUCCUUAGUUGCCAGCACGUAAUGGUGGGAACUCUAGGGAGACCGCCGAUGACAAAUCGGAGGAAGGUGGGGAUGACGUCAAGUCAUCAUGGCCCUUACGGCCAGGGCUACACACGUACUACAAUGGUCGGUACAGAGGGUUGCCAAGCCGCGAGGUGGAGCUAAUCUCACAAAACCGAUCGUAGUCCGGAUCGCAGUCUGCAACUCGACUGCGUGAAGUCGGAAUCGCUAGUAAUCGCGAAUCAGAAUGUCGCGGUGAAUACGUUCCCGGGUCUUGUACACACCG
rnacentral:rRNA from 1 species